UACGUAGGGUGCGAGCGUUAAUCGGAAUUACUGGGCGUAAAGCGUGCGCAGGCGGUUCGCUGUGUCCGAUGUGAAAGCCCACGGCUCAACCGUGGAGGGUCAUUGGAAACUGGGGAACUUGAGUGCAGAAGAGGAAAGUGGAAUUCCAAGUGUAGCGGUGAAAUGCGUAGAGAUUUGGAGGAACACCAGUGGCGAAGGCGGGUCUCUGGGCAGUAACUGACGCUGAGGAGCGAAAGCGUGGGGAGCGAACAGG
rnacentral:rRNA from 1 species